CCGGCCGCGGUGACGCUUUUGUUCUCUUCGCCUGGAUGCGCUUCCAAAAGUGAAAGGAAAAAGGCUUCACCCAAAACUUGCUUCCCGUCCCCCCUCCCUCCUCCCAGCGUGGCGCUUGAGUAGCCCUUCCACUCCCCAGCUCCCAUCCCAGUUUCCUGAAAGCGACAGCUCGUCCUUGGGAACGGUAAGAGAACUCCCGCGCCCACUCGGCCGAACAGCGAGGGGGAUCGUCCUCUGUGCCUGUCAAGGGGAUCCAAACAAAGAGGCUUGGGUCCUCUAGCUGAUGUUGAUAAACUUAAGGAAAGAUGAAUAUCUUGCAGAUCUUUUCCUGUUGGAU